ensembl:lncRNA
CGCAGCCUUUACGUGGAAAAAAAUCGACCCCUAAAACCAAUUAUGAAAUGCAGUUUAUCGCGUUCUCUCUCAUUCUCUGUCUCUCAGGACACUGUAAAGCAGACCGACUCAGGCUUUGGUCAAUUAUCAAUAUGGCAAUAUCUGCCUUCACAUUUUUCAUCCUUGCCUUAACGGCUGGUAAGUCGUCUUACUACCUUGAUUUGGUUUGUUUGUCUUCAGACCUAAGUCUAUUGCAAAUGUAUUCUUUAUCUAUUGCCCGUUUUAGCUAUUGUCUUAUGUUAUUGUUUAUAUUUAAGAUUUGAGAUAUUAGACACUUGUAAUUACAGCGAAUUGUUUCAUUUCAUUUUGCAGACCACUCGGUAAGCGAGAGUGGGUUAAUACUCGCAACGCAUGGUGAAGAUGUUUCAUUUACCUGCCUUUGCCUGAGAGACAUGCUGUGUAAGGAUAAUUUCAUCCGCUGGAUAAAAGUCGCUGUGAAUCGCACUGUGACAGUUUUAGACACUGGCUGUGAACAAUACUGUCGAAUCUCUCAUAAAAGUUUAAACGAUUCCAAGAUUGAGUUGACUAUUCGACAGGUAAGGAGGGAUGACGAGGGACGAUAUUACUGUGACAUAAAAGGUUCUCGGACUCUCAAGUUUCGAGGAAAGGGUACACUUCUCCAAAUUAAAGAGUCUGAGACCGGGACCAACAGGAGUGAGGUGAUGUUGUUGAGAGAAUUUGAGAGCUCCAUGAUGAAAUCAGCUUUAGAGAAUCACCGAACAUCUGUGCUAUGUUGCCUUGUGACCGCUUUGCUCACUCCGAAUAUCAUCAUCACUUGGCAUUCAUCCCAGGGACGGGUGGAAGCCGGUCAGACCUGGGUAUCUGACGCUAACGAAAGGUUCACUGCAGGAUGCCGACUACAAAUAAACGUGACAACUGGCAAGGACUCCCAAAUUUCCCCAAAUGCCGAGGAGCACAGGGAGGAGUGGUGGUGUGAGGUGCAGCAGGGAGAUUUCACAUUGAGAAGUGAAACGUCUUCAAUUUACACAACUAAAGUGUCCGAGGGGUGUCCUGCUGUCCUGUACUCCGCUGUGGCACUCAUCUCGCUGUGUGUUCUGUCCCUCGUCCUGCUCACCUCUCACUGGAUCCUCUACUUGCGCAAAGGUGCAGGAGCUUCAGUCACCAGUGCUACCACGUCACCGUCUCAGGAUGAUACAAGCUCAGGAGUGAGAUUACAGCUCAACGAACCUCCCACACCCAGAAGACAAUCUGCAAAUGCAGGUUCGGAAGUGUACAGCAUCCUAAAAUUUCCAGCUGUCAGCGCCGUGUCCUCAUCUUCUCACCAGAAUGAUACGUCAACCAGUGUGACAUACGUUUCCGUAGACUUUCAACGGCCACCAAGGCCCGGGAGACGACGCAAGGAGAACAACCGAGAUCGGCAGAUUGACAUAUGCAGUGCAGUUCAUUUUCACUAAACUUGUUGUGAAUGCUCUUGUGAUAAAAAAUCAAUUAAACAAAUUAGCACAGAAACCUCCUCU